GAUGAACGCUGGCGGCGUGCUUAACACAUGCAAGUCGAACGGAAAGGCUCCUGCUUGCAGGGGUACUCGAGUGGCGAACGGGUGAGUAACACGUGGGUGAUCUGCCCUGCACUUCGGGAUAAGCCUGGGAAACUGGGUCUAAUACCGGAUAGGACCACAUUUUGGAUGGUGUGGUGGAAAGUUUUUCGGUGUGGGAUGAGCUCGCGGCCUAUCAGCUUGUUGGUGGGGUAAUGGCCUACCAAGGCGUCGACGGGUAGCCGGCCUGAGAGGGUGUACGGCCAAAUUGGGAAUGAGAUACGGCCCAGACUCCUACGGGGGGAAGAAGGGGGGAAUAUUGCAAAAGGGGGGAAAGCCUGAUGCAGCGACGCCGGGGGGGGGAGGACGGCCUUCGGGUUGUAAACUCCUUUCGCUAGGGACGAAGCGAAAGGGACGGUACCGGGAGAAGAAGCACCGGCUAACUACGU
rnacentral:rRNA from 1 species